ensembl:lncRNA
AUGUGGUGAAAAACCAGCAUAAGAGCCACUAGCCUUCUCUAUCCUUCACUUAGUGAGCCCAUGACAUCUUCUUCAAUGUCACAGUAUGUGGGUGAAUGACUUACUACUUUGCUUUAGAUUAGCCCAUUGGUAGUCCUCAUUCAUGCGAUGGACAGAUGCAGGUAAGGAAAGACUAAAGUUUACACAGAGAUUGUAACAGCCUGGCACUUAGGUGCUCAGCAUCCAUCCCCUACAGUCUCGUUGGAGAAAACACAAGAACCAAACAGAAAAAAGAAUUCAGAAAACUCUUGCUACCAAAUAGAAAACCUACUGUGUACAUUUUCCACCACGUGGAGGAGGCACUUGGGACAAGGUAGAAGAUUUUACUUUUCCCAGUGGUAUAAGCAGUAAAUAUCAUUCAUUUUGGACAAGUCCUAGAAACUACAUACAGGAAUGAGAAAUCCAGCCUUGUGUUCAACAAUCCUAAACAGUGUGACUUGCUUCAUUUUUUGCCUGUACAUAUACUAAGGAAAAAUGGAUGGUGACAGAGCAUCAGACCCAUAAAAGAGCAGAACAGUGUCAACAGCUAUGACUUCUCCUGAAGACGUCUGCUCAAUGGGUAAGGGCUGUUGUAAUUGCUAUGUGAUGUACAGUCUGAGAGGCCUAUCCCAACGUGAAAGUUAUAUACAUCAGAUUUUCAGAUUCAAGCAGAGCGUGUGCUAUAGGAGGACCUGGGUAUCCUUGCAAGACCUCUUUCAUCUCUCAUUGCAGAUAGGAUCUGGCAAAGAAGGAGCACCACAUUAUUUUAACACAAAGACAACUGUCACAUUAUUUCCCCAGUGGCCAAUCACCCUGCAGGGGACAACUUCAUCUAUAUUGUACCUGCUUAACAUACUUCAUUAACUCUGUCAAUUACCAGCUACCUCAGCACCUUUUCUGUUGGCAUUACACAAUUUAUUCUUUCAUUGUCCCAAACAGUACCACAGCUCCUACUGCUUCAUAAUCCAAGUAAGGAGAUAUUAAUCUUAGAAAUGUGUAUUAGAACAAUUAAAAUAGAUUUUCAAGAUGGUUUAUGGUUUGUUUUUUUGAUGGUGUUCAGAACAUACUACUAUUUUUGAAUUUUAAAUAUAAGGGAGAGUUCCCUCCAAAAAGCAGACACAUCUUUUAAAGUGUACUAUAUUUUUUUUUUUUUGACAGAGACUUUUCAUAGAAGUUCUCACUGCCAAGUAUAGCAGCAAACUUUUCUAGUUUAACAUACUCUUUCAAGAUAAACUAAAGGCAAAUAAACAGAGACUUGACUUUAGUCACCUCAUUGAGGCUUGCUAGCUAGGAGCUAAGAAGCAUAUUUAUCCUGGGCUCUUCUGCAGGCAUUGGAGACAGGCUCACCAUUCUGAAUAGAAAUUCAGCCCACCUAAGCCAAACUAUACUCACUGACUUGUGUGAGACUGCUCCUCACCACAGGCCUUGGUUAAGUGGUUUUUCAUUGUGUAAUUUAGAAUAUCUUUGUGAGAAGCAGGACUUCUGGUUCAAGAGUCAGACAGAGACAGUUCAAGAGGGUGGCUGCAAUGGCCAACUGAAAGGUGGGGUUGGAUGAGGAGUUGAAAGUCUGGGGAGGGGAAUAGGAAGGGGGUUUGAGAGUUCCAGGCAGCAAAGCUGCAGGAGGCUCCACAGACAGAAGGUGUAAAACUAGAAGGAGCAUUUCUUUGAGCUAGCACUCAGUGUAUGCAAUUGUCUACUUGAAUAUUAAGCUCUGCUCAUGCUGAUCAGCUUCAGUGAAUGAGCCCAGAUCACCCGAGAAAGGAGCAUGGGGGGGCAGUGUUGGGUACAAAAGGGUGACACUCACAACUGCACAAUUCCACAAUUCCCCACCACUGCUGUGGGGCAAGAACAGAAUUACAGGACUCCUCCUUACUUCCCUCCCUCACCCUCUUCUCUUUCUCUAUUUUUUUUUCCCUUUUCCUUUAUCUGGAGUACGACAGGUUUCUUCAAAGGACACUUUUGAAACUAAGAAAACCUGUAUUUUCACAGAAAAAAAUCAAAUAGUAAAUGACCUAAUGCCUGCUACAAAGACAUCUGAUUAAAGCAAAUUCAACAUACAGUUUAGAACAGACUAGCAUCAAACGUUCUGAAAGGGAACAGAUGAACCAAGAAAAUUGAAAGUCAAUGGAAAUCCUAAAUACCUGCUGAUUACAUGGAGUUUCCCCAGUCAGUUUUCAAAAGAAGCAAGGGACAUCUGAUCACUCAGCUCCUGCUCUAAUUAGUUUGAAAGGCAAAUCCAUCAGAAAAG